CUCAUUUUGCAGCAGGGAAACUGAGGCAUAGAGGAGAAGUAACCAGGUAAUCCACAGAACCAGGGCUCAAAGGUUCUUCUCCCACAGGCAGCUCCUUAUUCUGUUUUUGUGUAUGGACAAGCCUAAAGGCCCACCUCUUGGAGGAAUUAUUCAGAGGAUUUGACUCAGGAGUAAAGAGACUAUAAAUAAUAUUAAUCCCUUGCAUAUGUAUGGCACUCCAUGGUGUAGAAAGUGCUUCCAUUUCUCCAGUUAUCCUCAUGGAAAUUCGGUACGAUAGUCAGGGCAGGCCUUACAAACCCCAUGUUACAGAUGUCAAGUGAGCGGAUUGAACAAAAUAACCUCCCAGGUCCCUUCCACCUGGAAAUCUACGUUCCUGUGAUGCCGUGAGAAGAGACGUGUCCACGUGCAAAAGAAAACACGAGAUGUGAAGCAAUCAUUGGCUGGGAACUUGCAUCAACCCCAUCUUUGAGCCCAAAAGCAUUUAUUAAGCACCAGCUGUAUGUACCAGACCCUGAGCUAGGCAAACCUGUGCCUGUCCUCAGGGAGCUUCCAUUUUACUGGGGGUGGAGGUGCAUGGCUACGACAUGGACAAGGAUGAGCUAUUAGACAGUGAGGAGCACCUUCAGGUUUACAAAAUACUUGCUCACUGGAGCGUCACCCAAUGCUGGGAGUGGGUGCUGCAAUUAUCACCGCCAUUUUAGAGAUGAAGCCUGGGGAACGGCUACAGGAAUUUUAGAACAUGUGCUCCAGGAUUGGCCCAGGGACCUCUCAGGCUCCUUCCUGCCAAUGCUCUACAUUUCCAUCGGUGCGAUGAUGGACCUAUCGUGGACCCAAUGCUCACUCACUCGUCAUCCUACCCUCUCUGAGACGAUGACCCUUCAAUACUCCCCCAAUUCUCUGCAUCAUCAGAGAUGUCUCAUGGAGCCAUCAUUCCCUGAGUAAUGGGAUUCGUUCUAUUUUUUAGAAGAAAAAAAUGCCAUCUCAAAUUCUAUUCAAAUACCACACACAUGCAAAAUCAACUUGGAAAUUGUUUUUGCAAGUUUCAAAGCUCAGACCCCAAAUUACAUUUUGCUUCUAUUAAAAUAACAUAAAACUGGUUAAAAACAAAAAAAUGAUGGUCCUGUGGAGUUGAGAUAUUGCAUGAAUAAAUCUGGAGUCAUCUGUG
rnacentral:lncRNA from 1 species